CGAGCCUAAUUUUUUGCAAAAAACACUAGUCGCCCGCUUAGGCCAUUUUGACCAUGAUUAUGACAGGUGGGUCCCACUGGACAGUGUGACGUGGCAUAACAUAACAGAUCACAAAUAGACAGAAAGGGAUAGACUAAACUGUAAAAGGCCAAAGAGGAUAAGGUGGUGCUGCUAAUUAAUAAAAAAAAGAGGAUAAGGUGUGAGUCGUCCUUCUUCUCCCCAGCGCCCAGCCGUGCGCACGAGUUCUCGGCCGGCGAGUUCGCAAUGGCGACCUCCUGCGCCCCGGCCUCGACCUCUUGCGCCCCGGCCUCGGCCUCCCCUUGCUGCUCACCUACAUCGGCGCCGGCGAGGUGAAGAGGAGGCGCGACGGCGGCCCGCGUAGGCGUGGUGAGGGAGGGCGCCUCGCUGCGGCCGCAGCUGCGCGUCGACGAGCCAAAUCCACAAACUGUGGGCAUGGAGGAACCACGCCGUCAAGCUCAUCUAGGGCCGCCCGAUGCUCAAGCCGCCGCCGCCGCCGGAGCUCCAUUGCUCCGCCGUUCUAACCGACAACGCCGCCGUAUCCACGCCAUUCUGCAGCCCGUCCUCGACCACGCCGGAGCUCCCCUAUGCCCCGCCGCCAGAGCAAGCAGCAGCUGCGGCGACACGCACGGGGAGGGAGUGCCCGCCGGCGUCCACCAUCGGAUCCGGGGGAGAUGAAGUGACCAAGGACCCGAUUGCUUUUUAUUCAGGGGCCCUUCUGCAAAAUAAGUUGUAUCGGGAUGUAAUUGCUUUUUUUCUUUGCCAUGUCAUCAUGUUCAGUGGGACCCACCUGUCAUAAUCGUAUUCAAAACCACCUAAGUGGGUGAUUAGUGUUUUUUGCAAAAAAAAAUAGCCUCGGAAUUAGUGGUUUUUGGCACAAAA